GAUGAUGUACACAAACUUCUUACGUAUACAGGAAGUACUGACAAAGAAGAAAAUGGAUCAUUGGCUGUAUAUUGAUGUAGAAAGUGAGACGAAGUAUCCCUGCACGUGAUGUAUUGAAUUCUACUUUCUUCAAUAUUGUAGUGAAAUGAUUCACUCACCAAAAUAAAUUUUAUUUGUGUACAGAAUGUCUUGUUGUUAUUAAAAAGUUAUGGCUUUACCAUGGCCCUGGGUGGUCUCAUGUUAUUGAGAAUUCUUAGCAAAGUCUUUGUUAUCAACUUACUCUUUGAGCGAUGGAACGAAGCAAUGUUUAUACCGAAGUAUUUGUUUUCCAAUACAUUCUCCAAGUAGCAGCCGAUAUAUGAAGUUUUCAUCUCAGCAAAGCUGCUAUAUUUCCAGAAAUUGUUCAUGCUAGCUGCGUACAAUCCGAACAUAUGUAUGGAGAUAAAUGAGAUGGAUGGAAGACGGUCGGUUGGUGUUCUGCUUUUUGCAGUAAAACAUGUAGUUUUAUAGCUUGCGCACAGAUGGAAUCAAGAGAAAACAGAAAUCUAAUUUACAUUCAGCAAAUAAUUAAUGUGGUACAAAAGGAACUUGCUCAAUUUUUCAUCAAAGAAUGGAACUCUCGUUACAUAUUAACACAUGGAGAAUGGGAUGAUACCAAAAAUAGUGGCAAAAAAUUUUACACUUUAGAAUCAGGUAGGAGGUUGGAUAAAAAUCUACAGUUAAAAUAUCAGGAGGGAGACACCAGUAAGUGGAGCUGCACAACAUUAUUUGAUGCUAUACUUUUUUCAAAUUCAAUUGGAAACCAUCUUGACACAAAAACAAAGGAUGCUGUUCAUGCACUUCGAGUUGAAAGAAGCAAGUACGCACAUUGGUAUGAAAGGGAAUGCUCAGAUGAUGAUUUUGACGAUAUAGUCAAUAUCAUUGAAAAAUCAUUUCAAGAUUUGAAAUUUUCUCUCGA